GUGCCCAGAUGGCCCCCACCUGGCGUUGCCGGUGAACGGAACCCAGUGCUGGUUAUUUCUGGUUAGAGGCGCAUGGAGGCCCGCCCUGGGAUGGUGCCACCAGGUUACUUGCCCAGCGGUGAAGGAUGGCAGCUUUACAGCUCCCCGACGCAUCAGACUAAAGAACGUUAGCCAGGGUCUGCACCGGUGGUUCUCAAAGUGCUGUCCCCAGGUCUUCGGCGAGGACUAAAUGUUUCCACAAGAAUGUUGCUCACCCCUCCAUUACUACAUACUCUUCUGCUGAGCUCCAACCUGGCCUUUUAAUCAUUGGUGCUCAAGUGUGUCUUCCUUCUUAUACUAGAAUACUUCUUAGAAAUGAAAAAUUCAUUACAACAAAAUUUACAUUUACUACGCAGCUGUCUGCUAUGAUUUGUAAGUACAUAUAUCUUUUCUAUUGCUUAUGAAAUGAAAGUGUGGAGGUUUUUUUUUUUCUUUUUUUAGCUGUGUGUAUGUGUGUGUGUAUGCACAUGUGGUCCAUAAA
rnacentral:lncRNA from 1 species